rnacentral:lncRNA from 12 species
AUGAGGGAAACUAGUUUCGAUGACCUAAAGGUGUGCUCACCUUGCACCCUGAGAUGUGCCACAACAGAGGUUCCUUCUGCCUCACAUGAGUACAUCCCCCCCAUCCUGGGGCUCCACACAGCUAAUGUACAACCGCGCAACAGUCCAGUCCUGUUCAACUAUCACCCUGCAACCGUCUGCUUGCACAGGUGGUUGGAGCCGAGCCACCACUCGACAUUCGUAACCCCUGUAUGGGAAACCUCACACUGGAAGAUAGCAUCCUCUCCCGCUAUCACAGUCACAUCCUUUAAUUCUCUUGUGAUUUUUACACAUUCUGGGAAUGGAUGGAAGGAACGUGAUGAAAAGGGACUAUUGAGGAUCUUCCGAAAAGUCAAAAGAGGGGAACAGUGUAAAAUGGAGUCCAUCUUUAAAGAAGAAUCAAGAAUUACCUUUGACGGUCAAUGUAGCUUUGGUAGGACCUGA